CAGUCGCCGCGGGAAAACGUAGGUGGCAAGCGUUGUCCGGAAUUAUUGGGCGUAAAGCGCGCGCAGGUGGUUUAAUAAGUCUGAUGUGAAAGCCCACGGCUCAACCGUGGAGGGUCAUUGGAAACUGCUAAACUUGAGUGCAGGAGAGAAAAGUGGAAUUCCUAGUGUAGCGGUGAAAUGCGUAGAGAUUAGGAGGAACACCAGUGGCGAAGGCAGCUUUCUGGCCUGUAACUGACACUGAGGCGCGGAAGCGUGGGGAGCAAACAGGAUUAGAGACCCCCGUAGUCCCUGUCUCUUAUAA
rnacentral:rRNA from 1 species